rnacentral:rRNA from 1 species
UACAAAGGGGGCAAGCGUUGUUCGGAAUUACUGGGCGUAAAGGGCGCGUAGGCGGCCCGCUAAGUCGAACGUGAAAUCCCCGAGCUCAACUCGGGAACUGCGUCCGAUACUGGCGGGCUUGAAUCCGGGAGAGGGAUGCGGAAUUCCAGGUGUAGCGGUGAAAUGCGUAGAUAUCUGGAGGAACACCGGUGGCGAAGGCGGCAUCCUGGACCGGCAUUGACGCUGAGGCGCGAAAGCUAGGGGAGCAAACGGG